CCGUGGACUCCGCAGUAGCUUCUAGAACCAGUUCCAUCACAGAUGUAAUCAUCCAACACGUCAUUCCCUGGAAUUUGACUGAAAAGUGCUUCCAAUCUAUGAUGGAAAUAUGUGAGCUGUUUUAACGAAGGUGGAGAAUUCCCCCCCUCCACCUCCCUCAGCUGGCUGCUCCGUGGAGAGAAGAGGCCUGCAGUUUGAGGUGGCCGACCAGCUGAAGGGUGUCAUCGUGGACAGAAAGCCGGAGCUGAGUAAACUUGCCCACAGAGACCUUGGUCACUUGCUUAGCUUUUGUUGACGAACUGAGCCAGCUGGACGGAGGGAUAUGUCAGUGCACAAAGAGGCGCAUGAAAGGAAACAGCUGUACCCAUACCAGCAGGAGCUGCUGCAGCUUCAGCUAUGAAGCGUGCACCUGCGUGGAGCUGCUGCAGCUCCAGAUACGAGGUGUGCACCUGCAUGGAGUUGGGUGACUGGAGGUCCGUCAGGGAAGGGACUAUCAUGGAACGUCAGGACUCCAAAGCCAGAGGGAUGGAUGGCUCCGGGGUGGCAAAUUGGAUACCCCACUGCUCACCUGGAGGUCACGGGAUCACACCUGACUUGAAUUAGUCAAAAGGAUUUCAGGAUGAGGAUUUGCUGGUUGUUUAGGAAAGAAAUGAUUAGCUGGCUGUAACAGUGCCUAAUAAACAGAUUGUCCCUGUCAACGAUAUUUAUUCAGUGAGCCACGAACAAGUGGCAUCUCUGCAGCCCUCGUUCAGGAGAGGGCAGGAUUGUCGAAGACUCCUGUUAAGGCUGUGUCCUCAUGUAGCGGUGAAUGAGCAGAGGAGUGACUUGAGCUGACAUAUAUUUCCAUAGACUCACUGUGUCGGCUGCAUUAGGGAUAGACAGCAAG